ACUUAAUAAAUUUAAAGCACUUAUAUAAACUAACAUAUUGGGUUAGUGUUUCUACCUCUUAACCAAUUAAGAGACUAUAAGUUUUUUUAGUCAAAUU
rnacentral:ncRNA from 2 species